CUCCUGACCUCGUGAUCCGCCUGCCUCGGCCUCCCAAAGUGCUGGGAUCACGGCAUGAGCCACCGCACCCGGCUGUGUCCACCUAUCUUAUUUUCUUGGUGUUUCUACAGCAUCCACAUAACACUCCCCGGUCAUGGUUUAUUUACUUCAUAUUUUUCUUUGCAUCCACUCACUUUUUACUUAGCUCAACCUAAGCUAUAAUGUCCAUAAAAUCAUGGUCUUCAUGAAGCCUAUCGUCUUCUCAUACAUCAGCAUAAAUACAUAAGUAUUGGAAUUUGUAAUGAAAGGUUUGUUCAUGAACCGAAUGGAAUAACUUGUGGGUGCCAUUUGUAGCCUACUUGGCCUUAUCUUGUUCAGUUCUCUCAGGUUUGCUAGAAGGUGUCCUUGCUUUCAUUUGACAGGUGAGGAAGUAGAGAAGUUUAGACAGUCACUUAACAUCACACAGCUAAGAAGUGGCAGAGUCUGGAUUGGGACACAGAUCUUUUUGGGUUUUAAAGCCCAAGUUAUUUGCAUCAGCUUUUCAGAAGAAGUAAAGGGUGGAUGAUGACCGAGUGUCUCCUGGGUUGGAUGGACAGAUUGAGAGCUUGUAAGAACAGGCAUAAAUGGUUAGAUGAGGCCAAUAGGACUUCCUGCCCCUUCUUGGGAGGCAGAGAUGACUUUGGCCACGGUCCUAUAGGUUCCCAUGGAUUUUGCUAUAGGACUUGCUUAUACUAUGAGAAUUGCUCCUGGGUCACCACUGCUGUGGCAUGAUGAGCCUGUAGUCAUCUCAUGAAAUAACAGUAAUCCUUUGGGAGGCCGAGGCAGGGAGAUCACCAGGUCAAGGGAUCGAGACCAUCCUGGCCAACAUGGUAAAACCCCGUCUCUACUAAAAAUACAAAAAUUAGCUGGGCAUGGUGGCAUGCACCUGUAGUCCCAGCCACUCAGGAGACUGAAGCAGGAGAAUCGCUUGAACCUGGGAGGCAGAGGUUGCAGUGAGCUAAGACUGAGAUUGCACCAAUGCACUCCAGCCUGGUGACAGAGUGAGACUCUGUCUCAAAAAAAAAAGAGAAAAAAGAAAGAAAUAACAGUAAUCAAUAUUGACUCCUGCACAAAAGCCCAGGGGAGUGAGGUUGUAGGGAGGACAGCACGUGGGAUUGUCCCCACAGAGCCACUGCACAGUCCCAAGGAUGACAGGGGGCCCCUCCUUUGUAUCGCAGGCUGAUUGGUAUUCAGCCCUCAAGGAAGUGCCCUUGAGGAAAAAACAAUCGCCUUAAUGGGUUCUGAAUGAGCCUUACUGCCAGCCAUUGUUGGAAGGCCACAGGGAGGAGACUCAGCUGCCCCUGAGGAGUGGCAGUGAUGGCCCAGUGCAGAGCUGAUCCUGUGUUUUGGGGCAAUUUCACAUGAGAUGAAACAUCAGGCGCUGCUGGGGAGGCCUGCCGAGAAGGGCGGCCCCACUGGGCAGUGAAAGCACCUACUCCAGUUUAAGGGUGGAAUCUUGGGGCAGAGGAAGAAGGGACCAGAUAAAGUUGGCAAGCCCAGCGAGGUGUCCAGGAUAUUAGCAGGGAAGAAAAACCUCCUCUGGCAACGAUAAUCACAUUGUUCCGUCAAAUUCUUAAGUCAUCGUUAUUGAAGGUCCCACAUUUGGAUGACUGUGCUUCGACGUACUGCUAGUCUGUACGGGGACUUUGCAGGGCUAAAAAAGUCAGCCUCUUAGCAGAAGACCAGAGCUCACCGAUGCAGGGCGUGGUGAGCAAAGCACUGGUUGGAUUUCAGCCCCUAUUUGCCACUUUGCGGUACACAAAUCAUACAACUAUUUGCAGUGACCCCAAGGAAGAUCUAACUUGUGUUUCAAUAAAAAAUAUCUGUGAGGCCAGGCAUGGUGACUCACACCUGUAAUCCCAGUACUUUGGGAGGCUGAGGUGGGCGGAUCACCUGAAGUCAGGAGGUCAGGAGUUCUAGACCAGCCUUGCCAACAUGGUGAAACCCCGUCUCUACUAAAAAUACAAAAAUUAGUUAGGCGUGGUGUUGCAUGCCUUUAAUGCCAGCUACUUGGGAGGCUGACAGGAGAAUCGCUUGAACCCAGGAGGCGGAGGCUGCAGUGAGCCAAGAUCGCACUACUGCACUCCAGCCUGGGUGACAGAGUAAGACUCUGUCUCCAAAAAAAAAUAAUAAAGUAAAAUUUGUGGGCCAGGCACAGUGGUGCAUACCUGUAAUCCUAGCACUUUGAGAGACCAAAGUGGGAGGAUCACUUGAGUCCAGGGGUUUGAGACCAGCUUGGGCAACAUAGUAAAACCUCAUCUCUAUGAAAAAUUUUAAAAAAUUAGCUGGGCAUAGUGGCACACACCUGUAGUCGCAGCCACUCAGGAGGCUAAGGUGGGAGGAUGACUUGAUCCCAGGAGGUUGAGGCUGUAGUGAUCUAUGAUCAUGUUACUGCAUUCCAGCCUGGGUGACAGAGCGAGACCCCACCUCUACAAAGAUUAAAAAGUUAGCCAGACAUCAUGGUGAAACCCCGUCUCUACUAAAAAUACAAAAAAUUAGCCGGGUGUGGUGGUGGGCAUCUGUAGUCCCAGCUACUCGGGAGGCUGAGGCAGGAGAAUGGCGUGAACCCGGGAGGCAGAGCUUCCGGUGAGUGGAGAUCAUGCCAUUGCACUCCAGCCUGGGUGACAAAGCAAGACUCCGUCUCAAAAAAAAAGCUAGCCAGACACGUAGACCUAACUACUUGGAAGGCUUAGGUGGGAACAUUGCUUCAGCCCAGGAGUUCAAGGCUGCAGUGAGCCAAGAUUGCACCACUGCAUUCUGGCCUGGGUGAUUGAGUGAGACUCGGUCUUGAAAAAAAAAUGUUAACAGUUCUCUGGUAUUCCAUAAUAAACUAUCUGAAAACUGAGUGGCUUAAAACAUUAAUUUUGUUUUGUUCCUAAUUUUGUGGAUCAGGACCUUAGGAAGGGCUCUGCUGGGAGGUUUGUCUCGGCUCCAUGUGUUGUCCACUGGGGCUGGAGGAUCCACUUCUAAGACUUUAUCGUCCGUCUGUCUGGUGCUUUGUUCCUCCUUGACCCCUCUGUCUGUUUCUCUCCAGGUAGCAUCAAGCAUCUUCCUGUGGCUUGAUUGUCUCACAGCUGGAUGGCCUCAGGGUAGUGUCACUUCUGAUGUGGUGGCUGGCCUCCAGCAGGCAGGAAGGUGGAAGCUGCCAUAAAGUUAAGGGCUACACUUAAAACUGGCACAGCAUCACUCCUGCCAUAUUCUGUUGCUCAAAGCAGUCACAGGGCCUGUCCAGAUUCUAAGGACGGGAAAAAUAAGUCCCACCUCUUGAAGGGAUGGGGGUGGCAAAGUCACCUUGCAGAAGAGCAUAUGGGAUAGGAAAUAUAGCUGUGGUCAUCUUUGGAAAAUGCAGUCUGUCACUCCUUAAUUGGCAGGGAUUUUUCAGGAGCCUUGUAGUGAUUCUCCUAUCUUAGACUGCCUUAGAAUCCCAUAAAAAGAAUAAUGACAGACAAAGCACAGGCAUGUUCUCCUAAGAUCGAAAUAUAUGUCUGAGUCUUGAUUUUCCAUGGCUUCUCCAUGGAGUCCUAAUGAUUGAGCUGUAAGGUUACUCUAAUAAGGUAAACAAGCUGGCGGAGUAGAAAUAAUCCCAACACAAGUCACAGCUGUGGCAGAAGGGAAGCCGAUAUUAAUACAUGCAUACCUGUGGUGGUGCAAGAGUGGUUGACUCGUGUUUGGUGUUUGGUGUGGGCCCAAAGACAAGAGGAUCUAGCUUGGACCAACUCAUCUCCCAUCCAAGCAUUAGAAAUCUGAAGUGUGUUUUAUUGAGUCCAGCAACAAAGAUUCAGUUGCUGAAAUGGAGACAGAUUCAGACAGUAAGGUGAUGUUUUUGGUUGGAAUUUUCUUCAAAGCUAAGCCCUGGGGUCAUUAUUGGGCAUUAGUCUCCCUUUAAAAAUAUGGUGUAAUAAAUGACAUGCACACACAUUCAAUAGAAAGAACAUUUGCACCCUUCGCAAAAAAAAAUCUGAAUAAUUAGCCUAGUACAUUUUUUUGGAUAGUGCUAAACUUCACAAAGAAUAAUAGGAAGAGAGGUUGCAUAUUAAUUAUAUUUGGAGAGGAGUUGCCUUGUUCUCUUGAAGUGUUCCAGAUAGAAGAAGCCUUGGAUAGCAACCGAGUCCUGGCUACUUAGCUAUGACUAUGAGCAGGUACCUACCCUGCGUCUCCCUUUAUUCACCUAUAAAAUGAAAAAAAUUACCUAACCCUGGGACUCUUUUAGGUAUGAAACAAUGCAAUACAGUUUUUAAAAAUUGCUUUGUGAGUUCAGAAGUUCUUUACCCAUUGAGCCAUUAUUGCUAAUAAUAAUUAGCGUAGCACGUUUCUGUUGCCUAAGAAUUAACAUUAGCCAUUACUUCCUGGCUCAUUUAAAAAUAUAAUUUAUAGGGUCUAUCAUUUCUUGAAAAUACGAAAUUAAAAAAUUAUGUGUAUAACUCUAGCAUUACCUAGGGUUUGGGCACAAGCUAUAAUUUGGGCACUUGUGGCUUAUAUACACAUUAAUUAAAUUAUUUUUGCUAGUUUUGGAUAACGUGGGUAGCACUUUCUAAGAUGAAAGGCUUGAUCCUACAAAGACAAAAGAGCAAGCCAUUAGAUGAUAUUUUGCUGCUUUGAAUAAACUUCACCCAGUCAUUGAGCCCUAUUGAAUGGACUAACAGUAAUGAGUGGAUUACUCUCCUUCCAAUAGAUUUUGGAUUCAUUAUUUAUCAACAAAUAGUUCUUUGAGGGCCAGUGAGGGGAAAUUAUCCUUGCUAUGAGUGACCCAGUGGUUUCCUAACUCCUGUCUCAUGGAAUGUUCCUGCCUUCAUGAACUAGCCAAGGUCAUUCCAUACUCAAAUCAAAGGAAGCAGGCUCCCUCUCUUUCAAUUUACAGAAGGAAAAAGAGGUCCGUGGAUUAACUUUUCCCUAUACUGCGUGCUUACUGCUAAAUUGAAAGACCACUGUAUUAUGCUGUGUACUAGGGUUGGGCGAAUCUGGCCCACUGCCUGUUUUUGUAAAUAAAGCUUUAUUGGAACACAGCUAUACCCAUUCAUUUAGAUAUCGCCUACAGCAGCGCUCAUGCUAUAACUGCAGAGAGGGCAUAGAGACCCCUGUGCUGUCAAUGAGUGUAAUGACAUAAGAACAGCCUUUUUAUUUAUUUAUUUAUUUUUUGAGACAGGAUCUUGCUCUGUCACCCAGGCUGGAGUGCAGUGGUACCAUCAUGGCUCUCUGCAGCCUCAAUGUCCAGGUCUCAAGCGAGCCUCCCACCUCAGACUCCCAACUAGCUGGGACUACAGGCAUUCACCACCAUGGAUGGCUUAUUUUUGUAUUUUUUGUAGAGACAGGGUUUUGCCAUAUUGCCCAGGCUGGUCUCAAACUCCUAGGCUCAAGCAGUCUACCCACCUUAGCCUCCAAAAGUGCUAGGAUUAUAGGUGUAAGCUACCACACCCAGCCUCAAGCUACUUUUUUUUUUAACUCUGAACUUUUUUCCAGGCAUGACAAGCAACCAAAGCUGCCAUUUUGUUGUGACAUGGCUCUGUCUGAAUAUUGUAUUCUUCCUCCCAAACCUGCAUCAAAUAUGAUAGGCUGGAAAUAAAAUGGUUUUAUUGUUUUUAAGGGAGCAUUAGGCUAUGGUUAAAAAGAAAAGAGAGGAGGAACUUGGAGUUAUAUAAACGGGUAUAAAUCCAGCCUCCACCUUAAUCUUUUCACACACUACAUUCUUUGUCUAAUCCAUAAAUAAUAUAUUUAUUAAGCAUCUAGUCCUAGCUGCUGCCUAAGGUGUGUACAAGCUGAACAACUGUUCAUUAUGCUGGAUCUUACAGGGUUCUGAUCAUCUACUGCUGUGUAACAAAUAGUUCUCUAACGUAAUGACUAAAACAGUGCUUUAGUAUCAUCUCUCAAGGUUUUGUGGGCUGACUAGACGUGGCUGGAUGGUUCUUUCUUGGAUUUCUGCAUAUGUUACUGACACAUAUGGAGUGGGCUGUGAUCAUCUGAAGGUUUGGCUGUGGUGGUUGCUCAAGGUGUCUCAUGCACGUGCCUGGCAGUUGGUGAGGGUUGUUGGGGGGAGCUCAGCUGGAGCUGUUGGCUGCAUCAGACAUGGUCUAUCCUGUGUGUCUUGGGCUUCUUGCCACAUGGUGGCUGGGUUCCAAGAGGGAGUUUCCCCAGAGUAAAUAUUCUAAGAGGUCCAGCAGGAGCUGCAAAGGUAUGUAUGUUAUCAUUGAGGCUUAGAAUUCCCAGAACAUCACUUUCACUGCAUUCAAUUGGUCAGCUGAGUCAGUAAGGCCAUCUUGGCUUCAAGAGGAGGGGAAUAAGACACUACCUUUCGAUAAAGGCAUGUCAAAGAAUUUGAAGCCAUCUUGAAUCUGACGCAUAUGCCUACGGUGGUGAACUAGCACACGCCGGCUUCUUUGUUAAAUUGUAACUUUGAAGAGUCCUGAUGCAGAAGCAGCAGUCUUGAUGCUAAGAGAGCUUUUGUUAGAGUAGUUUGGCCUGGAAAAAGCCCAGAGGAGGCUCUGGGAGAUGAGCAAGCAGGAAUGGGAAGGUUAAGUCGCGUUAACCAGGUGAAGAAGGGAGGUCAGAGUAAUCCAGGCACAGGAAACAACCUGUGCCAAGGUCCUGGGGCAGGACUGCAAAAGGAUCCAGACUAGACUAGAGCUGAGAGAAUGAGGGAAUUGUGAUGGAAACUAAGGGUUAGUAGCCAAAUAAUGAAGACCAGAUUUCCCAAGCUUCUAAACUUCAUUUUUCUCCCAUGUAAAAUAGGAUAAUAUUUACUAUACGAGGCUGUUGUGAGGAUAAAUUAAGAGAGUCAGUAGAGCCUUGCACAGUGAUGUUUUCUUUUCUCCUGGAAAUGACUGUGAGUCAAUGGAAAAAGCAUACCACCUGACUUCUUUUUGGUGUCCCUAUCUUACUCAUGACCUCCUUCCUCCAGGGUCAAAACUGAGCUUACAAAGUUACGCCUUCAAACUUGCAAGCUAUCCAUAAAGUCUUACCAAACUGUUAAGUGUAGUCCUGGGAAUUGUGAAGGGUCCAAAAUGGAUCUAAACCAUUGCCUGGUUAUUAUUUGAUUAUUAAAGCAACACCAGCCACCUCGUUAGCACUUGUGGGUACUCUAGCAGCACCAAGGUUAAACGUCUCUGCUGGCUGUCCGUGCUCAUUUGCAUGGCUUCCUCCUCUCCCCCACAUCUCCGAUAGUUAAUGCACAUGCUCACUCUCACUUCCUUGUUCAAAGAGAUGUUUCACCACGGUGCAGAUGCUUGCCCCUGGCAACCCCUGGUGGAGGCAGCCGCUGAGAAUUCCGUAAAUCUGUCCUGCUCUCCCGCAGAACUGAGAAUCUAAAUUCUAGCAUUCCAGGAGCUGGGGAGGGUAAAGGCUGUUGACAUUGACAUGCCAGCAGGAGCCGCAGCUCCUCCAGGGUCAUUUUGAAAGCCAGAGUCUGCCGAUGUGCGUGGCAGCCUCCUAGCUGCACAGGCUGAUUGUGAUAGGGAUGUGCCCACUGGACCCCACAGUCCCCUCCUUUCUCAGUCCCUCCCAGGUACCCUCUGUGCUUUCGCAUCUCAGGCCCCGUGUGAGGAACCAGGACACAUGGCCUUUCAUGGGGAGCUCGCAGUCUGCUGAGCUAGGGAGUUUAUACUUUUCCCCAAAUAAUUCCCCCAAAUGAGUGGGGCCCAUCCUCUCCACUAAUGAGGUCGUGGCAAGGCCAGUUUCUGUUCCAUAAGCACAGGCUUCUUUUUGUCCCUGAAAUAGCAUCGCCGUGGAGUCUCACAGUUUAUCCCGGAAGGGAUGUGGGGUGCAUUAUCUGGCAAUGUCUGGAGACAUUUUUGGUUGGCAGGACAGGGCGGGAGCUGUAUAGGCAUUUAGUGGGUACAGACCAGGGGUGCCACUAAACAUCUUAUUCUACAGAGUGCAGGACAGCGCCACAGCAAACAGUGAUCCAACCCAAAUUGUCGGGAGGGCCGAGCUUGGUAGGACCUCUGCUCUCCUCUCAUUGCCUGCUUUUCUCUUGUCACUGUGUCACUGCCAUACUGACUUUCUGGUAGUUCCUCAAACAUAUCCAGUCCUGUCCCAUUUGGGGACCUUCAUGCUUGCUGUUCCUUCCAGAAUGUUCUUCCCCAUAGAAGCUGUCUGUGAUUCUUGAUCCAUGAUCAGGGAUCCAUUUGAUUCCAUGAUUACACCCUUUAUUCAACACUUCCCGUGUGUCUGACACACUGCAUGCACAGCAAAUGGAAUCUCGUAUUCCUGCUCACCACAGCAGCUUCUCCUUUUCCUCCAUAGCUCUCAUCCCCAUCUGAACUCUCCAUUUAUUUCUGUGGGUUUUUUUUUCCUUUUUUUGAGACAGAGUCUCACUCUGUAGCCCAAGCUGGAGUGCAAUGGUGCUAUCUCAGCUCACUGCAACCUCUGCCUCCCGGACUCAAGCGGUUCUCCUGCCACAGCCUCCUGAGUAGCUGGGACUACAGUCACGUGCCACCACACCCAGCUAAUUUUUUGUAUUUUUUAGUGGAGAUGGGGUUUCACCAUGUUGCCCAGGGUGGUCUUGAACUCCUGAGCUUAGGCAAUCCGCCCGCCUCGGCCUCCCAAAGUGGUGGGAUUACAGGCGUGAGCCACCGCGCCCGGCCUCCAUUUAUUUCUGAGAUUACCCCUCAAUGACCUCUUUCCUGCUGCCUGUAGGAUUCAUAAAGACUCGGAUUCCAGCAGUGUUGCUCACUGCUGUGUUCUCAACUCCUGCACCAGCUCUUCGCAUACAGUAGGCACUCAAUAUAUAUGUGUUGCAGUGGAGGGGAGGGGAUCAGAAAUGGGGGAGAUUGAAAGUAGGGAGAGGAGAGGAGAGUUUUUGGAGUCAGAAAUCCUGGCUGCACGCACCAAUUCCAGCUUUGUGUUUUGGGGGAAACCUGCUUAACCUCUCUGAACCUCAGUUUUCCCUUCUGCAAAAUGGGAAUGAACAUCAUUCCGCCCCUGUGAGGGUGGUUUUUGGUGUUUAUACCCCAGGCUGUGGGUGCUGUGUGUCAGACACGCGGGAAGUGCUGAAUAAAGGGUGUGAUCGUUUUUCUCUGCGGGGGGUCUGCAGUUCUGAUUCCCUUGGAGAAGGCAGAGUGAGGAAUCAUCGCAGUUACCGUCCACACAGUGCUCACCACAUGCCGGCCCCGUUGGGUAUUCAUGCGCUUUAAUCUCACAGCAUCUUGUGUUGUCCUGGUCCCCGUUCCAUAACUGAGCAAACGGCAGUUGAGGGUGGUGAGGGGCUGCGCUGGUACACACAGUGAGGAGGUGGUGGCAGGGGUGACCUUCAAGCAAACCCAGGCUGCCUGGCUCCAUAGCCUUAACCAGGACACUCGCCACUCCUCUAAGAUUUGUUUUUCAUCUCCCUUUGCAGAAAUGCCCUUUUGCUCAUUUCUCAUUAUGUGUGUCAGGGCUUCCUGUGGGUGCCCAGUGGAGUGUGGGAGGAAGCGGAGAAAGCAAGGCGCUUACAAGGAGACUCAUCCACGGGUCCGUCUCGUUUUGUGCCUGGGUCUUAAUUUAUAAAGAUGUCUGAUAGCCAGGCAUAGUGGUGUGCACCUGUGGUCCCAGCCACUCCAGAGGCUAAAGCUGGAGGAUUGCUUGAGCCCAGGAGGUCGAGACUGUAGUGAGCUAUGAUUGUGCCACUGUACUCUGGCCUGGGUGAUAGAGCAAGACCCUGUCUCUAAAAAAUAAAUACAAAUAAAUGAAGCCCACCAAAUAAAUGAAUAAGUAAAUAAAGGUGUCUGGGUGACAACACAGCGAGGUCAAAUAAAUAGAAAUAAAGCCCACCAAAUAAAUAAAUAGAGAUGUCUGGGUGACAUCACAGUGAGGUCAAUGCCCUUGAAAGUUUAGUGUGACUCAGUUUCCCUAGAAAGAAGAGGCACAGCAUGCUUGCAGGGCCACAGCAGGAGGCCCUGGUUUUUUGGUUUGGAGGCAGAAGACAGGAGUAAGGAGAAAAUCUAGGCCAGAACCUUUACUGGGGUUCCCACAGGAAAGGUGAGGCAAGGCAGGGCAAACAGUUUGGGAUUGACCGGCUUGAAUAAUUUCAGGAGGGCUUUGGGCUCUAGAGGGGUCUCUAGCUGCCUGCUACCUGGCCCCAGGUUGGUUUAGGGCGGGGGAAAAUUGGCUUGGUGUGUGAGAGUUAGAUAUGGUGAUGGCUGAGGGGGUAUAGACUCUGGGUUUGUUGGUUUGCAUGUGAGAGGCUUGCUCCUGGUUGAGCCCUUUGCUAUCUCUAAGAACGGGCUAGAACUGGGAGGGGAUGUCUUUACCCAGGUCUAUAAAACCCCUAAUGCUAGAGCAUCUACAAUACAGAAAAUCUGUCAUCUCAGCACUUUGGGAGGCUAAGGCAGGUGGAUGGCUUAAGCCCAGGAGUUCAAGACCGGCCUGAGCAACAUGGCGAAACCCCAUCUCUACAAAAAAUACAAAAAUUAGCCAGGCAUGGUGGUGAGCACCUGUAGUCCCAGGUACUCCGAACACUGAGGUUGAUUGAACCCAAGAGGUUGAGGCUGCAGUGAGCUGAGAUUGCACCACGCACCACUGCAUUCUAGCCUGGGUGACAGAGUGAGACCCUGUCUCAAAAAAAAAAAAAAAUGAUGACAAAAAAUAAGAAAGUGUAGUUGAACUAAUUAGCCAUGUGAUGAAUGGAUGGCAAAUAGACAAAUGCAUUAUCUAUGAAAACACACAGAACACCCCCUUCCUUGCUCAUGUGUGGGUACCCAGCAUGACUGCUUAGAGUCCUUGAAGGGUGUGAAGCCAGCCCAGUGUCCCCUCAGUGCACAGUGUGUGGCAUUGAUGCAUGCCUGUAUACCAUCAUCAGAUAUGUUACUUCUUUUUUGAGUACCAGGUCCCGGGGGCACAAAUAGGAUGACUGUGGCCAUACCUCUCUUUGGGCUGUAUUCACUGACUGCCUACUGCGUGUCAGGCACCAGCCUGGGCACUGAGCAUACAAUGGUGAGAAAUUAGACAUAGUUUUUGACCUCAUCCAGCUUGUGGUCUGGACUAGUCUUGAGGAAAAGGUGGGGAGUGUGGCUAUAUGUAUUAUCUCUCCAGACACACUUGGCCUAUAUUGGUCGCAGAAGUCAGAGGCUCAGCAGAUACGAGCAUUGUGAACAUGGGCUGGACUGCAAAUCAGGUUCAGGAUUUGACCAGUUACACAUUCUUCUGACUCUCCCCAGGAGUGCUGCCAUUAGGAAAACAUCUCGGAAAGGAAUUAAGCACUCUAACUGUAGAUACACCCUUAUUGAAGUAUUCCUUGUUUGGGAAAGUAAAUCUCUGUUAGGUCUCCUUGGGACUCAGUCAGUUGGGCUGCCUUCCAAGAUGGUGGAUGGUGAUCCACUGGGAGACCUAGUAUAAGAAACUGUCCUGUUUCCACUGGGAAAUCAGGAAAAGAACUUUGAUGUCUUAGAAUCUUUAGAGCCUCUUUACCUCUUUUCUUCCCCACCCCCACACCCCCAAAUGCUUCAAAGUAAGACUAUUUCCCCUCCCCCCACCCAAUCCUUGGUGUUUGGUUUGAAUUUGGUUACCACGGUAUUUAAUCUGUUUACACGAGUUUUAUUUUGGCCUCUAACUACAGAAUGAAGAAUGUGGUAGAGUCUAGGCUGAGUUAAGCCCAGAAUUCUGGAAUCCUUGGUAUGUGUGUGGGGUUUGUGUGUGUUUGUGUACGUGUGUGUGCGCCAGGACCCCCUCACGUGGACCUGGUGCUGUGUGCCAGGUUCUGCCCUGUAUACCUCUGCACCCCCAGGAGUGCUAUUCACCUAGUUUCUCGUGUGAAUCAUGCACAUGGACCUGGGCUGCACGGUGGCUGUGAGAACAAACUGCACCUCACCAGGAUCUUCAACCCCAGGAGCUGUGCGGAGCGUUUUUGGGGGCCAUUUUGGGGCUCAGAGAAGGAGUUGUAGGUAUACUUCUUACACAUGCCCUUCAAAUCAAGUUGAUAUGAGGUUCUGGACACUCGCUAAUUAAAACAUGAAUAUUGCAAUGUGGAAGAUCUUGUUCCCCCUUUUAUGCCCCCUCUUGCCCCACCAAGAAGUUUAAAUGGGCUUUCUGAAAAUGUGCCCAGAGAAAGACAACAUCCUUUUCACCUUAGGCCUCCGGGCCACCUAGUGAUGGGCAGCCGGAUUGUGAGUCAGCAGUAGAAUUUGAGAGUUAGCAGCUGAAUUAACUGUGUCCAUCAGUCAGUAAGGUAACUCUGUUGCUCAUCAGAGGCCUUCAGGGCACCGGAGUUUCUUCUUGGACAGUUUCCGGAGCCCCUGACUGUGGUUUAAAACCAGGUAGGCAUCUGGUCAUUCUCCCACGAUGAAGGUGAAGCCGAAUGUACCACAACUGCUCUUGUUGAACUACAACUAUUAAGAGAUCAGAGGUCCCAGAAAAGUCACCCUCUUGAUCAGUGACCCCCAAACUCAGAGGCAACCAAGGGGUGUUUUCAGCUGCUGUUUGGAAGUGAUUGUUCUCAAUUCAUUGUUAUGAGGCCCCAUUGUCACAGCCAAAAGACUUCUUCAAAAAAUAAUAAACUGCCUAUUCGUUGGGAGAAAUGACAGAGAAUACCGUCUAAGCAAUUUUUUUUAGUGACUGGGCAUUUUUUUAGCAGCCCAAGGUGAUAGUAGCAGCAUUCCUUGUAGAAUGACACAAUACAAUGAAAUUUAGAUAUAAUUAAUUAAUUAGGGAGCAAAUUGUAUUAAGUAGGUAGCUCUUUGCUUUAAUGGCAGCUUAUGAAGAAACUACCACCAUGAAGGGGGUUAUAAUGUUAUUUUAGCUUUUAUUAUCAACAUCAACAAUAGCAACUGAUACUUUUGUACAAACUCAUAUUACAAGUACUAUGUUCAGUCCUUGGUUUAAAUUGACUUCUGUAAGUUUCACAACUGGCCCAUGAGGUGGGUGCUGUUAUGAAUAAUAUUCUCAGAUGGGAGUUGAAUAAUUUGCCCAAGGUCUUCCAGCAAGUAAGGGCUGGGGAGCAGGGUUCAGACCCAGGCAGGCAGGUUCGAGGGCCCCGGUUCUUUACUGCUGGAUGUGUUAACACACCUGUUUAUUAGACCAUUGACAGCAAUCUGUAAAAUAUGCAAGAAGCCUGGUGCUAAUGAAAGUAAUGGCAGGCUGCUGGGCAUGGUGGCUCACGCCUGUAAUCCCAGCACUUUGGGAGGCUGAGGUGGACAGAUGGCUUGAGGUCAAGAGUUUGAGACCAGCCUGGCCAACGUGGUGAAACCCUGUCUCUACUAAAAAUACAAAAUUAGCCGGGCAUGCUGAUAUACGCCUGCCAUCCAAACUAUUCAGGAGGCUGAGGCAGGAUAAUCGCUUGAACCUAGGAGGCAGAGGUUGCAGUGAGCCAAGAUCACACCACUCCAGCUUGGGCCGCAGAGUGAGAUUCCAUCUCAAAAAAAAAAAAAAAAAAAAGUAAUGACAGGUGAUAUGGUUUGGCUGUGUCCCCACCCAGAUCUCAUCUUGAAUUGUAACUCCCACAAUUCCCAUAUGUCGUGGGAGGAACCCAGUGGGAGGUGAUUUAAUCAUGGGGGUGAGUCUUUCCUGCGCUGUUCUCGUGAUAGUGAAUGAGUCUCAUGAGAUCUGAUGGUUUUGAAAAGGGAAAUUUCCCGCACAAGCUCUCUCUUCCCUUGUCUGCUGCCAUGUGAGAUGUGCUUUUCAUCUUCUGCCAUGGUUGUGAGGCCUCUCCAGCCACAUGGAACUGUGAGACCAAUAAACCUCUUUUUGUAAAUUGCCCAGUCUCGGAUGUGUCUUUAUCAGCAACGUGAAAACAAACUAUUACAACAGGCAGUGGAGAAUCAAAGCUUAAUGUACCCGCUUUUCUCUCUAUGCACUUAUGGCUCUAAUACACCUUUUGUAUCAAUACUUUUGGAUUUCCUGAAAGAGCAAGUUAUGUGGGGAAACUAGCCUGGUACAGAAUCCAUUCUGGCAAAAGGGGCAGCCAGCAGCGGUCAAGGAUUUGGGUCUGUGCCUGGUGGUGGCAGUGUGAACUCAUUAGCAGCAGGGACAGGGUCUGUGCUGGUCAGUGUCCGUGUGGUUGGGACAUGAUCACCCACAGCAGAGCCUCCACAUUUGGCUUUGGUUGUCCAAGCAUCCUAUACAUCAUCUUGCAUUAUUCAGGACAUUCUUUUUAUGCCUGAACUGGGCAGCAUGGAGUCUUUUGUUUGCAACCAUAAAACUCGGUCAUACACACACCCUAAAAAUGUGUCUCAGCUGGGUGUGGUGGCUGACACCUGUAAUCCCAGCACUUUGGGAGGGCAAGGCAGGUGGAUCACUUGAGGUCAGGAGUUCGAGACCAGCAUGGCCAACAUGGUGAAACCCCAUCUCUACUAAACAUACAAAAAUUAGUCGGACGUGGUGGCGGGCACCUGUACUCCCAGCUACUCGGGAGGUUGAAGCAGGAGAACCACAUGAACCCGAUAGGCAGAGGUUGCAGUGAGCCGAGAUCACGUCACUGCACUCCAGCCUUGGCAACAGAGUGAGACUCCAUCUAAAAAAAAAAAAAAAAAAAAAAGUGUCUCAAUACUUCAAAACCAACUUGGGUAAUGUUAAUGGACUUUCUUUCUCAAAUGUGUGGCCACCCCCAUCUUUUCUCCUGGCAAAAGGAACUAGGAAGAUCGCUGUGGUUCAAGAUCAAUAUUAUGCACAUCAUUGCUGAAAUAUGCACAUCAUUGCUGAUUGGCUUAUGCAUGAGGAGCCUGGAGGAACUGUCGAGAAAUAGCAGGUCCAAGCUGCUAGGACUUUUGUGUUCUUGGGUCUAAUGUGUUUAUUUCAGUUCCUCCUUGCCUUCAAACUGCCGGCCUCUCUCAAAUCCCUUCUUAUUUUCUGCUUUCCAGUAAACUUCAAAAUAGAACUGAAUUGCAAGUUGGAGCUUGACCUGUUACUCUUUCUAGCGUCGAAGGAGGAGGUUCUGGUACACUUUGGCAGCUUCCUGCUCCUUCUGUUCACUUUUAGAAGGUGGUGGCUCUGAAAAAGGUCUUUGUAAUUUGCAUCUUUUUUCCCCUGACUAAGGCCUUCUUCGGUUUUGACACGUGUCAUUAUGGGCACAUUGUUUGGACCAGUUUCUAGAGCCUCAUUUGGGUUCUCAACGCUGUCUAAAUCUGGCCUUUGCGCUCAGAACAGACCUGGGAAUGUCACACAAAGUCCUUCUGAUGCCACCCCCACCAAUAUCUAACACUCGUUACUCUUUUUUUUUGUUUUGUUUUGUUUUUUGAGAUGGAGUUUCACUCUUGUUGCCCGGGCUGGAGUGUAAUGGUGCGAUCUCUUGGGUCACCGCAACCUCAGCCUUCUGGGUUCAAGCGAUUCUCCUGCCUCAGCCUCCUGAGUAGUUGGGAUUAUAGGCCUGUGCCAGCACGCCCAGCUAAUUUUUGUAUUUUUAUUACAGAUGGGGUUUCUCCAUGUUGGUCAGGCUGGUCUCAAACUCCUGACUUCAGGUGAUCCGCCGGCCCUGGCCUCCAAAAGUGCUGGGAUUAUCGGCCUAAGCCACCAUCCCCGGCCUAUUCUUUUAGCACCUAGAAGCACAUCAACCAAGGAUAUUGUGGUGCUAGGCAACGAGGCUUGAAUACACUGGAGGAAUUUUUCCAGUUUGAAGCUGGAACUAGUUAGGAAAUUUAGGAGUGAGCAAUUGUUAAGUAUCCAAGCACAAAACUCAGGAGUGAGUCUGAGCCAUGAGAAAGCUGAUACUGACUUUAGAAGAUCAAUAUUGUGAUAUUCCCAGGGCUUUGCCUCUUAGAUUUCAUGAGAAUUUAUAAUAUGUUCACACUCAAUGAUUGCUUACCAAGCGUAUGUCACUGCACUUACUUAGCAUGCACUUUGAAAAGCAAAACAUCAUUUAUUCCUUAAAAAGAACUCGGUGUUGUACCCAUUUUCCAGGGCAGGUGAUUGAGGCUCUGAGAGGCUAUCAUCGUAUAUUUUGUAUUACUAUAAAGGAAUAUCUGAUGCUGGGUAGUUUAUAAAGAAAGAAAGUUUAUUUGGUUUGUGAUUCUGAUGGCUGGUAAGUUCAAGAUUAGGCAUCUGCAUCUGGCGAGGGCCUCCGACAGCUUCACUCACAGUGGAAGGUGAAGGGGAGUUGGCAUGUGCAGAUAUUACAGGUAAGCAAGAAAGCAAGAGAGAGGGAGGGGAAGGCCAGACUGUUUGUAAACAUCCAGCUCUUGCAGAACUAAUAGAAGGAGGGUAUUGAUCUAUUCAUGAGGGAUCCACCCUCAAAACCCAAACACCUCCCAUUAGACCCCACCUCCAACACUGGGGAUCAAAUUUCAACAUGCGGUUUGGAGGGGACACACAUCUAAGCCAUAGCAGAGGCCAAGUUACUUGCUCAGGGGCACAUAGCCAGAAGGUAGAAGGCCCUGGGUUAGAAUGCAGACCUGCCUGAAUCCCAAGGCCAUACUCUUCCUUGAACACCAUGCAGUGGUUAUUUUAGUAGGGGUCACACAGAUGGGUGGGGAGCAGGCAGAGAAAUAAACAAAGAGACUGAGUGCUGCUGUCUCAUGCCUAUAAUCCCAGCACAUGGGAGGCUGAGCAGGAGGAUCAGUUGAGCCCAGGAACGCAUGUCCAUACUGGGCAACAUAGCAAGACCCCAUCUCUAUAAAAUAUAUAGAGGAUUUAUAAUGUGUCCACAUUUAGUGAUUGCUAACCAAGCGUAUGUCACUGGGCUUAGCAGGCACUUUGAAAAGCAAAAUAUCUCUUAUUCCUUAAAAAUAACGCUGUGUUAUACCCCUUAUAUAUAUACACAUAUAUAUAAAUUUUUAAAAUAAGAAUAAAUAGGCUGGACGCAGUGGCUCCUGCCUGUAAUCCUAGCACUUUGGGAGGCCGAGGCAGGCAGAUCACCUGAGGCCAGGAGUUCAAGACUGCUGGCCAACAUGGCGAAACCCCAUCUCUCCUAAAAAUAUAAAAACUAGCUGGGGUGGUGGCAGGGGUCUAUAAUCCCAGCUACUUGGGAGGCUGAGGCAGGAGAAUCGCUUGAACUCCGGAGGCAGAGGUUGCAGUGAGCCGAGAUUGCGUCACUGCAUUCCAGCCUGGGUGACAGAGCAAGACUCUGUCUCAAAAAAAUUAAAUUAAAAAAUAAAAAUAAAGAAGCAGCAAAAGGUUUCAAAUUAAAAGGGUGACUUUCGAAAGACCAUAUGACCCUGUGGGAAGAGACAUACUAUGUUCUUAUGUUUUAUUUUUCUGUUGCAUACCACACCCAACCCAGGGCCUCAUAUAUUCCAAGCACAUAGAAUAAUUUGUUGAAGGAACAUUGAGUGAACAAGGAAAAGAAAUGGCCAUUUCUUCUUUUGUUUUUUCUUUUGAAUUAACCCUUUAGCUGUUCAGCAUCUUCCUCCUUGUUUAAAUGGGCGUUGUGGUCCCUUUUGACCCCCAGCUUCUGAGGCCUGCUGGGGAAGGUUGGCGUGAACACAGCUUCUCUUCCCCAGGGCCUCCUGGUCUCCACUUGUCUUCCCAUCUGCUUUCCAGAUGAUCAAAUGACUCAUCAGCUCCCUGCAGCCUUCCCAAACCUGCUUUUUGUCUUCUCCGCUCUCUUUCCCAAUUUCUUAGGCAGGACUCCUCUGGCUGUGAGUGACGGAAACCAACUUAGUCUAGUUUAGGCCCCAUGGGGGAGCUUACUGGAUCCCAGAUGGUGAUUCACAGGAACCCUGGGAGAGACCUCACUGGAGCACAGAGAGGGGAAGCAGUGUGCUCUAAGUCACACAGCUGUUCAUUAUGGGGAGGGUUGGGAGAGCUUGAGAAUUUUGAGAACAAGCUACAUGCAGGUGGUGACUAUUUAUUUGACUAAUGUACUCCCAGUGCCUAAAACAAUAACACUCAUCAUAUAGUAGGUGCUCAGUAAUAUUUGUUGAAUGAGCAUGUGAAUGCAUGAAUAGUGGAGUCUCUUAUUUUUAUAAAAUAGAGUCUCACUCUGUUGCCCAGGCUAGGCUGCAGUGGUGCAAUCUCAGCCCAUUGCAGCCUCCACCUCCCAGGUUCAAGCGAUUCUCCUGCCUCAGCCUUCCAAAUAGCUGGGAUUACAGGCAUGCACCACCACGCCUGGCUAAUUUUUGUAUUUUUAGUAGAAGUGGGGUUUCUCCAUGUUGGCCAGGCUGGUCUCAAACUCCCGACCUCAAGUGAUCCACCCACCUCAGCCUCCCAAAGUGCUGGGAUUUCAGGCGUGAGUCACCAGUCUCAGCUGAAUAGUGAAAUCUUAAAGUUUUCAUCCCCCCUCUGUAUGGAUAGGAAGUAACUGAGGGCAGGGAGGGGAAAUGGAGGAAUUCUUUACAUCACUGUGCCCUUCUUUUCACUCUCAUCAUGCAUCAGGGGCCCCAGGGCCUGGCUUCUGCUAGCUUCAACCCUGGGUUCUCGUCCUACCUUGAGGUUGUCUCAGCCUCUGCAGGUGACAGAGAGCCUGCCUGCCCCAGCCUCAGCCUGGACAUCUCCCAGCUCACGAGGGCACCACAGUGAAUGGGCGUCAUUCAGUUCUUGCAUCAGACUGGCUCGGCUGACCACAGCAAGCUACGGCCCCCGAGGAAGAUGCCAGGAGCUGGGUUUGCUGCCAAGGGCUCCCUGCUGCUGUCCCUGUGAUUUCAACUCCCCAGGGCUCCCAGUGGGUGAGAACAAGGGCUGGCUGUGGCAGAGUUCUCGUCUUUGGGUGGGGUGUGUGGCGAAUGGAAAGUCAGCCGCUCCGGCCUCGUGGCUUGGCUGCUGCGAGCACGGAUGCUUUAUAAAGUGACUUUUCAAGGCCUUCUCCCUCCACUGGGCCUUGGCAGCCACGCUGUUUCUCCAGAACUGAGCCGGCCUUGUGUCUGUUGGGAAGAAAGACAUGAAAAUGAGGGCUGGAGCGGACGCAGGGCCCCGAUUCCAGGAGAAACAGGGCAUCAUGUUGUGCUGCUGCCUGGGGCAGAGCUGACAAGCGCCACAUUCAUUCCUCAGCAGGAGUUGGCUCCCUUUGUGGUAUCAAAUGCCCCCUCUGCACAGCCGCGACAUUGAUCAGCAACAUCAGCUGUGUAGAGAGGUGGCGCGGGGUGGCGAGGCCGUUUGAUUAACCAGGGGCCCUCUAAAUGCUGUUUUUCUAAUCUGAGUCAUCCCUCCAGAAAGUUAUGUGCUUGUGUGUGGCAAUAUUACAAGUGUAUGUUGUAUUCUGUGUGGAGGGCACCUCUCAGAGGUGUGCAAAGAGGCAGCCCUUAUUUGGAGAAGAGGGGCAGAUGCGCGUGGUUGCAGCUCUCUGCACACGUUUAUGCCUGUAUUUCUAUCCCUAUGCUAUGUUUGCAUGCCUUUUGUGAAUGUACACAACUCUGAAUGUUUUUCUUUUUAAAUUUUUAUUUUUUAGAGACAGGGUCUCAAUAUAUGCCCAAACUGGUCUUGAACUGCUGACCUCAAGUCGUCCUCCCGCCUCAGCCUCCCGAGUUGUUGGAAUUACAGGCAACUGCCCCUGUGCCUGGCCAACUCUGACUGUUACUUGUGCAUCUGUUGUUGCAUGCAUGAGUGGGUGCGUGUCUUCCUAAGACAGAGAGGCUUCCUGGAUUCGAAACAUGGCUUUGCUUCCUAUGCACCAUGUGAUGAAUUCCCAUCAGCCUUGGUUUUCUCACCUGUAUAAUGGGGAUGAUCAUGGUUCUCACCUCACAGGAGAGUCUUGGAGGUUAAAUGGGGCAACAUCUGGCUCCAGGUCAGUUGUUGACGUGUGUCAGUUACUGUGGCUGUUACGGUUUUGACUUUGCAGGCUUGCUAGUAUGUCUGUGUGACCUGCUCCACGCCCUCAUCCUCAGCUGUAGCAGGAAUUGUGUUGGUGUUUUCUCUUGCUUUCUGAACAAAGGAUCCAGUGCUCUGAGUUCUGAGGAGGAAAAGGGACAGGAUCUGAGACUCUUUUGGUUUCAUCAGGGGCUGCUCAGCUCGCUGUGUCCCACCUGGAUGGGGGAGGAGUAUCCGACCCUUCCUGGGCCCUGAGUCCCUCCUGGGUCACUCAGGCUUGUCACACCUCCUCCCUGAGCCCCCCCCCCAACCACACAUAGACACACACACAUACAGUUAUGCACAUUGAAUCUGUCUGACGUUGCUGCGGUUUCCCAGGAGGGGUUUAAAUAAUUCUCUGUGGCUGUGGUCUGAACUGCACAGAGAGAAUCUCGUUGUCUCUAACCUGCUAGUGGAUGGCUCCCACCUGGCCUGACCUCUGGCUCCAAAGGGCAAGUCCAGCGUUUCAAGCUGCUCUUCUAGCCCUUAUGAACCUGAGGUCUUGGAGGACGGCUCUCAAUGGAGAAUUGUGUCUGGAGAAGAGACAAGGGUGAGGUAUUCCCAGAUGGGCUUUGAGGAAAGGGCCUUUUGCCUCUCCUGCUGUGAACAGCUUUCAUGGCUCUUCUUCUGCAGUAGAGUAGUGAUACAGUUUGGCUAUGUUCACACCCAAGUCUCUUCUUGAAUUGUAGCUGCCAUGAUUCCCCCACGUGUUGUGGGAGGGACCCGGUGGGAGGUUAUUGAAUCAUGGGGGCAGGUCUUUCUGGUGCUGUUUUUGUGAUAGUGAGUGACUCUCAUGAGAUCUGAUAGUUUUAUAAAGGGGAGUUUCCCUACACAAGCUCUCUCAUUCUCUCUUGUUUGUUGCCAUGUAAGACGUGACUUUCACCUUCUGCCGUGAUUGUGAGGCCUCGCCAGCCACCUGGAACUGUGAGUCCAUUAAACCUUUUUUUCUUGAUAAAUUACCCAGUCUCUGGUAUGUCUUUAUCAGCAGCGUGAAAACAGACUAAUCCAGGUGUUAAAAUCGCCGGCCCUGGCAGAAGAUUUGUAGGUUCAAAGCCAGGUUUUGCCGCUUACUGGUUGUAUGACUUGGGCAAGACGCCUGCCCUUUGUGAGUGUGUCUCCUCAUCUGUCAAAUGGCUAUAGCUGCAUCCAAGGCUGGAUAUGAGGAUUAAAGGGAGGUAUUCCCAUAAAAUCCAUAGAGUGAUCCCUGGCCUGCAGGAAGCAUUGGUAAGUGUUAGCUGUGGCUGGCUUAUUACCAUCAGUUACUUGUUUGUCUCUGUGUAUCGUCUUCAUAUUUGAGGUCCUCACUCUGGAAGCUGGGAUGAUGGUCAUUCCGCACAGGCCUUUGAUGUCAUAAGCACCUGGUGAAUAUUUUGUGAUUCAUUUAUCUAUUAAUUCAUCAGAAAAUAGGGUAUAUCCAUCCUGGGCAACAGAGUGAGACCCUGUCUCUACAAAAAAUUUUUAAAAUAGCCAAGUGUGGUGGAAGUUGCCUGUAGUUCCAGCUUUCCAGGAAGCUGAAGCAGGAUUGCUUGAGCCCAGGAGGUUGAGGUUUCAGUGAGCUGUGAUCAUGCCACUGCACUCCAGCCUGGGUGAUAGAGUAAGACCCUAUCUCUUAAAAAAAAAAAAAAAGAAAAGAAAAAAAAGGAUAUAGUAAAACAAACACCCAUGUAUGUAGAAUAAGACAAGCUCAAUAUCAAGAGAGCUUAAUGAUGGGCAUUUUCACCUUCCAUUUAGGUGUUUGCCAUGGAGACAAGAGAGAGAGCUUCUUUUUGUCCAUGUCUUAAAGGAGGAACUGUAUGCUCCAACAGCCCCCAAAUAAACCCCUCAUAGGUUUGAAUCCUAUUUUUUCCACAAGCAGUUUAUUUUGUAUUUUCUCAUGUUGUAAACUAUCUUUUAAAAAACAUUAUCCAUAACCCACCAUUCCAACCCAACUGCAAUUUUCACAUCUUCAGUUUCUUUCUGUAUUUAUACCCAUUGUUUUAAACUGUGUACACUUCGUCUUUUUCAUAUUCACUUAAUAGUGCUUUGUAAACCCUUUUUUUUUUGUUUUUGUUUUUGAGACAAGGUCUCCGUUGCCCAGGCUGGAGUACAGUGGGGCAAUGACGGCUCACUGCAGCCUUGACCUCACCGGCUCAAGGGACCCUUGUGCCUCAGUCUCCUGGUUGGCUGGGACUACAGGUGUGCACCACCAUGCCUGGCUAACUUUUUGUGUGUGUGUGUGUGUGUUUUUUUUUUUUGUAGAAACAGGGCUUUGCUAUGUUGUCCAGGCUGGUCUCCAACUCCUGGGCUCAAGCUAUUCACCUGCCUCAGCCUCCCGAAGUGUUGGGAUUACAGGCGUGAGCCACCACGCUCAGCCUAGAAACACUUUUAAAGCUUUUCUGUCAUCUCUCUGCUGAUCCUGCUAAUUAGCGCAUAAUUCACCACUGCGUUGAUGCACCUUAUUUAAUGUCACCAUUGCUCAAUUGUUGAACAUUUAGAUUUUUGUUGAUAUUCUAAAUAAAUAAUGUUGUAAAUAUCUUUGGGCCUAUGGCUUUUAUUUUAUUUUCUAAUUAUUUCUGUAAUAAUUUUUUAAGCAGGAGCUGACUGGCCAAGAAACAUUCCAUAAAUGUUUAGUGCUCCUAAAUGUUGUGGAAGUUGAUAUAAUAAUAAUAAUAAUAAUAAUAAUAACCAUAGCCACUAACCCUUCAUUGAACAACUAGGCCAGGCAUUAUCUGAGUGCUUAGCAUACAUUUUAAAAUUUACCCCUCCCAGCUCCUUGAGGUGGGGAUGAUGUUAUUCCCAUUUUACAGAUAUAGGAACAGAGACAAAGAGAGGUUAAAUUACCUGCCCGGGAACAUAGAAAAGGAUGUUGAAGAAGCCAUCCCUUUCCUCAAAAAACUCAGUUGCAGAACACUACACAUAGUUACAUCGGUAAGCUCAAAGUUGCCCUGGCCAGUUCUUGUGCCAUUUCCACAACUUCAGCUUGCAAAUGCUAAAUAUGUGCCCAUAAGUAUAUCUCUCUGUAUAAAUUUAGGCAGAGAUUGAACUUGCAGGAAGUCCGUCUGGCUUUUCUGGAAGACUCUCCCACCCCGGGUGGCUCCAUUCCCAGCAACCUCAAGGCAGAAUGGUGGAAGUUUUGGAAAUUGAUCUGAAGUCCGUUUCCCUUGCUUCCUCGUCCCUUUUCCUUUGUAACAUCCUCCAGCCCAAGGGCCCAGUGUCCCUAUGUGCUAUCAUCUCCCUUGCAAGCUUUCCAGCCAUGAUCUCUGAAAAAACUCAUCCACACUGAGCUGGGGCUGAUUGGAAUUCAUUCCAGGGAGAGUUGCAUUUUGUCAAACACUAAUGUUAAAGAAUUGACUCUGAAGAAUAGAUUGUAGACAGGUGUGUGUGUGUGUGUGUGUGUGUGUGUGUAUGAAAGAGAGAGUGAGACAGAGAGACAGAGGAGAGAGAGCUGGAUUAUGUCAUCCCCCUGGCUGUUACUUCUGUUUUUCUUCCCCUUUUUUCCUCUUCCCAGUAUAGGGUUACUACUUUCCCAAUAUAGGGUUGAUUCCCGUUUGUCCUUCAAACUUCAGAUCAGGUGUCCCCUCCUCCGGCUGGCCUUCCUCGCUCUAACUCCACACCUUGUUUCUUUCACUCGUGGCUUUCAUUACAAGCUGACUUUGAAGGUUGAUGGGUUGAUUCAUUGCCUGUGUCUCCUCCUAAACUGCAAGUUAGUUAGUUCCUUCCUUCCUUCCUUCCUUCCUUCCUUCCUUCCUUCCUUCCUUCCUCCCUUCCUCCCUCCCUCCCUCCCUCUCUUUCUUUUUUUUUGAGAUGGAGUCUCUUUCUGUCACCCAGGCUGGAGUGUGAUGGCAUGAUCUCAGCUCACUGUAACCUCCGCCUCCCAGGUUCAAGUGAUUCUCAUGCCUCAGCCUCCUAAGUAGCUGGGAUUACAGGCGCGUGCCACCACUCCCAGCUAAUUUUUGUAUUUUUAGUAGAGACAGGGUUUUACCAUGUUGGCUAGCUGGUCUCAAACUCCUGACCUCAAAUAAUCUGCCCACCUUGGCCUCCCAAAGUGCUGGGAUUACAGGUGUGAGCCAUGGCGCCCAGCCCCUAAACUGCAAGUUCUUUGGGGACAGUAGGUACUAUAAUUUGUGUUAGUCACUGAGGUACCUAGAAUCUAGCAUAGUGCCAGGCACAGGGUCAGCUGCACCCACUGUUUGUUGAUUGAAUGCUUGAUGUGUCUCCCAGCAUUCCUUUCACUGUCAGCCCCUGUCCUUCCUGUCUACCUGGCCGAAGACUGAGAAAGCUGCUGUUGCCAGGAGAGAGUUUGAAGCUGUGAUUUCCUUGUUGCCAAAUAAAUGAGAAGCCUGGUGAGGGCCAGUUAGCCUGAUGGCUGCUGUUGGAGAAGAAGUCCGCUGGCUGGAUCCUUAGCGAUUGUGUUGAAAACACAGCCACUCUAUUUUGUUUUCCUUUCCCAAAGAAAUAUUUGCUUUAUCUCUGGCAGUGUGUACUUUAUUAUAACAGAGCUGGAGGAUGUUGACCUGAGAAGUAAAAAAACAUGGUUUCCAAA